rnacentral:lncRNA from 1 species
UCUGUAACUGCCAUUCAGUAACUGUCACCUCAAAGAUGCCAAUCAGCUGCCUCCUGGGACAACUUAGCAAAGCUAUCCAAAAUCCGUGGAACCUUCUUCCCUUUUCUUUUCCCCAAAGUUAUCACGCUGUUGAACAGUUUCCUGUUCCAGGCAUUGUCCACGCAAUGAAAGUCUAAGGAUAGCCCAAGACAAGAACACGAUAUUGCAGCAGCUCACAGAAGAAGGGCUCUGGAACAAGAGGCUUCAUCCACAGUAGGAGAGCUCUGGAGAAGGGUUAGUAAAUAAGGUAUCAGACACUGGCAAGUGUGAAGGCAUGGUUUGUUCUGCAGCACUCAU